UACAAUGGGCGCAAGCCUGAUGCAGCCAUGCCGCGUGUAUGAAGAAGGCCUUCGGGUUGUAAAGUACUUUCAGCAGUGAGGAAGGCGGGUACGUUAAUAGCGUGCUCGUUUGACGUUAGCUGCAGAAGAAGCACCGGCUAACUCCGUGCCAGCAGCCGCGGUAAUACGGAGGGUGCGAGCGUUAAUCGGAAUUACUGGGCGUAAAGCGCAUGCAGGUGGUUUGUUAAGUCAGAUGUGAAAGCCCGGGGCUUAACCUCGGAAUUGCAUUUGAAACUGGCAGGCUAGAGUCUUGUAGAGGGGGGUAGAAUUUCAGGUGUAGCGGUGAAAAUGCGUAGAGAUCUGAAGGAAUACCAGUGGCGAAGGCGGCCCCCUGGACAAAGACUGACGCUCAGAUGCGAAAGCGUGGGGAGCAAACAGGAUUAGAUACCCUGGUAG
rnacentral:rRNA from 1 species